rnacentral:rRNA from 1 species
GUAGGGGGCAAGCGUUGUCCGGAAUUAUUGGGCGUAAAGAGCUCGUAGGCGGUUCGGUAAGUCGGGUGUGAAAAUCCAGGGGCUCAACCCUGGGGACGCCACUCGAUACUGCUGUGACUAGAGUCCCGGUAGAGGAGCGUGGAAUUUCUGGUGUAGCGGUGAAAUGCGCAGAUAUCAGAAGGAACACCAGCGGCGAAGGCGGCGCUCUGGGCCGGUACUGACGCUGAGGAGCGAAAGCGUGGGGAGCAAACAGGAUUAGAUACCCUGGUAGUCCACGCCGUAAACGUUGGGCACUAGGUAUGGGGUCUUAUCAACGGAUUCCGUGCCGUAGCUAACGCAUUAAGUGCCCCGCCUGGGGAGUACGGCCGCAAAGGCUAA